CAUCACCUGCAUUUUCAAUUAACAGAGCAACCUGCACGACUUACCCAUGCAGUAUACACAGCAUACAUUAUCUUUUCUGGUUGAGUUCAAACACUUGCCAAUCUAUACCAGGAGUAUCUUUCUAUUGCUUAAAAGCUAGCCAGAAAAACAACACACAUAGCAGAGAAAAAUAUUCUUUUAUUUUUGCGAGAAGUUUGAGGAAAAAAUCAUUACAUGGUUUUAGAAUUUACAAAAUUGGUAAGAAUCGUGCUGGCAAUACAGCCACCAUAGCAGUUCGAUGAAUCUUCACAAAUUCAGUUAUAUCCGAAGAGUCCCUAGUUUCCAGAUCACAAUUACGAAGUCGAGAUCUAUUGUGCAUUGCAUUCUUCAAAGUAGAAAUAACAGCCAAUAAUGAUGGGAGGAUCACAACUAUUGUGAGUGCUUUUAGGUCUUGAAGUCAGGCAAUAAUUUUAAGUUCUUCAGCCUCAAGUCACAACAUCAGAGAAGAACAUACAGAUAAUAUGAUAGACCCAUCCAGAUUACAACAGCCGCACCAGUGCUACCUUUCUCAGUAUUAUCAUCAUGACCUGCAUACAAUACAAUUUAUUUUCUGCAUAUAUGCACCAGAGUAUGAAAUAGCUAUAUAUAAAUCAAUUCGAUAGGUUAACUCACAAGAAUUGAUAGAAUUCUUUGGAAAAUAUUGCGGGAUGUUCUAGUGAGCAACAAAUGCAGUAAACUCUUUUAAAACAAAUAGCGA
rnacentral:lncRNA from 1 species